CGGGUUGUAAAGCACUUUCAGUCAGGAGGAAAGGUUAGUAGUUAAUACCUGCUAGCUGUGACGUUACUGACAGAAGAAGCACCGGCUAACUCCGUGCCAGCAGCCGCGGUAAUACGGAGGGUGCGAGCGUUAAUCGGAAUUACUGGGCGUAAAGCGUACGCAGGCGGUUUGUUAAGCGAGAUGUGAAAGCCCCGGGUUCAACYUGGGAACUGCAUUUCGAACUGGCAAACUAGAGUGUGAUAGAGGGUGGUAGAAUUUCAGGUGUAGCGGUGAAAUGCGUAGAGAUCUGAAGGAAUACCGAUGGCGAAGGCAGCCACCUGGGUCAACACUGACGCUCAUGUACGAAAGCGUGGGGAGCAAACAGGAUUAGAUACCCUGGUAGUCCACGCCGUAAACGAUGUCUACUAGAAGCUCGGAGCCUCGGCUCUGUUUUUCAAAGCUAACGCAUUAAGUAGACCGCCUGGGGAGUACGGCCGCAAGGUUAAAACUCAAAUGAAUUGACGGGGGCCCGCACAAGCGGUGGAGCAUGUGGUUUAAUUCGAUGCAACGCGAAGAACCUUACCUACACUUGACAUACAGAGAACUUACCAGAGAUGGUUUGGUGCCUUCGGGARCGCUGAUACAGGUGCUGCAUGGCU
rnacentral:rRNA from 1 species